rnacentral:pre_miRNA from 10 species
UCAUUUUCAUGGUUUCUGUUUUAGGAGAUUAUGAGGUGGGGCCUGAGAUUUUGCAUUUUUAGUAAGUUCCCCAGUGAUGCU